GGAUGAAUGCGCACAGAAUCACACACUGGCACGGAUGGAGGGACUACUAGGUUGUUUGCCUAUGGCAAAAAGAUUUAGUGAAGAUGUGGCAGAAGGGAAUUAAAUUUUAGUUUUCAGUCCAUAAAAAUUGUGACCGACAUACAGGGAAGGGAAGUCAAAAUCAAACUACUAGUGAAAUUCUGUGAAUGCCAAAUAAAGAUGGCACAUUGGCUUGUAUAAAUGAAUUCUUAUGAGAAAUUUAGGAGUUUAUGCAAAUGCAAUGAAUUCAAACCUUUUCCUAUUUGUCUGUUCUUUUGGUGAUUUUUUAGCGGCAAACUCCUCCAUUAUUUGUGGUGUUCAUUUCUCUUUUUUCACUUGCCAAUGAUGUUCAAUUGCAGAUGGACUAAUUUUAUUGUUUUUGUAUGCAGAUAAAGUCAGUGCAGGAACUGAGUGGACAGGUU
rnacentral:misc_RNA from 1 species